rnacentral:rRNA from 1 species
UGGGGGAUAUUGCACAAUGGAGGAAACUCUGAUGCAGCGACGCCGCGUGAGGGAAGACGGUUUUCGGAUUGUAAACCUCUGUCUUCAGGGACGAAAUAAUGACGGUACCUGAGGAGGAAGCUCCGGCUAACUACGUGCCAGCAGCCGCGGUAAUACGUAGGGAGCAAGCGUUGUCCGGAAUUACUGGGUGUAAAGGGAGCGUAGGCGGGAAUGCAAGUUGAAUGUCAAAUCUACCGGCUUAACUGGUAGCCGCGUUCAAAACUGCGUUUCUUGAGUGAAGUAGAGGCAGGCGGAAUUCCUAGUGUAGCGGUGAAAUGCGUAGAUAUUAGGAGGAACACCAGUGGCGAAGGCGGCCUGCUGGGCUUUUACUGACGCUGAGGCUCGAAAGUGUGGGUAGCAAACAGGAUUAGAUACCCUGGUAGU